rnacentral:rRNA from 1 species
GACGAACCGUGCAAACGUUGUUCGGAAUCACUGGGCUUAAGGGGCGCGUAGGCGGGCAAGCAAGUCGAAGGUGAAAUCCCACGGCUCAACCGUGGAAGUGCCCCCGAUACUGCUUGUCUUGAGGGAGAUAGGGGCGUGCGGAACUUCCGGUGGAGCGGUGAAAUGCGUAGAUAUCUGGAGGAACACCGGUGGCGAAGGCGGCAUCCUGGACCGGCAUUGACGCUGAGGCGCGAAAGCUAGGGGAGCAAACGGG